rnacentral:rRNA from 1 species
UGCCAGACUCCUACGGGAGGCAGCAGUGGGGAAUAUUGGGCAAUGGGCGAAAGCCUGACCCAGCAACGCCGCGUGAAGGAAGAAGGCUUUCGGGUUGUAAACUUCUUUUGACAGGGAAGAGCAGAAGACGGUACCUGACUAAGAAGCCCCGGCUAACUACGUGCCAGCAGCCGCGGUAAUACGUAGGGGGCAAGCGUUAUCCGGAUUCACUGGGUGUAAAGGGAGCGUAGACGGCGACGCAAGUCUGGAGUGAAAGCCCGGGGCCCAACCCCGGGACUGCUCUGGAAACUGCGUCGCUGGAGUACGUGAGGGGCAGGCGGAAUUCCUGGUGUAGCGGUGAAAUGCGUAGAUAUCAGGAGGAACACCGGCGGCGAAGGCGGCCUGCUGGACCGUGACUGACGUUGAGGCUCGAGCGCGUGGGGAGCACCCAGGAUUAGAUACCCCCGUAA